rnacentral:rRNA from 1 species
UACGACUACAUAUCAGGCAUAUCAAUAAGCGGAGGAAAAGAAACUAACUAGGAUUCCCUUAGUAACGGCGAGUGAAGCGGGAAGAGCUCAAAUUUGAAAUCUUCAAGGUUUUACCUUGACGAAUUGUAGUUUAAAGAAGUGUUUUCUGUUGAAGUUUUGGUAAAAGUUCUUUGGAAUAGGACAUCAUAGAGGGGUGAGAAUCCCGUAUUUGACCAUUAUUUUCAGCUGUGUGAUACACUUUCAAAGAGUCGGAUUGUUUGGGAAUGCAGUCCAAAAUGGGUGGUAAAUUUCAUCUAAAGCUAAAUAUUGGCGAGAGACCGAUAGCGAACAAGUACCGUGAGGGAAAGAUGAAAAGAACUUUGAAAAGAGAGUUAAACAGUACGUGAAAUUGUCAAAAGGGAAGCGUUUGACACCAGUGUUGUUUUCUCGAAAAUCAAUUAAAAAAAGUUGGAUUUUGUGUUGUAUUGACCUUAACAGCUUGCUUCACUCUUUUCCAGCUUUUUUUAAUGCACUUUUCGUUUAACAAGUCAACAUCAGUUUCUUUUGUUGUAAAAGGGUCAUUGGAAGGUGGCUUUCUCUUCGGAGAAAGUGUUUAUAGCCUUUGAUCUCUGCAAUCGGAGAGACUGAGGUCUGCAGCGUAGAUCCUUCGGGGUUAGAUACAUUUGUGCUAAGCUACAGCUUUUCAUAGACAACUUGUUGACUAUGUUUAGUCUUGUAACUUACCCGCUUAUGCUAUUUUACCUACGCUUAGGAUGUUGAGCGCAUGUCUCUCUCU